rnacentral:rRNA from 1 species
UACGUAGGGUGCAAGCGUUGUCCGGAAUUAUUGGGCGUAAAGAGCUCGUAGGCGGUCAGUCGCGUCUGCUGUGAAAACUCGGGGCUUAACUCCGGGCCUGCAGUGGGUACGGGCAGACUAGAGUGCGGUAGGGGAGAUUGGAAUUCCUGGUGUAGCGGUGGAAUGCGCAGAUAUCAGGAGGAACACCGAUGGCGAAGGCAGAUCUCUGGGCCGUAACUGACGCUGAGGAGCGAAAGCAUGGGGAGCGAACAGG